rnacentral:lncRNA from 1 species
UGGCAUUGUGUGCCAUCUGAGCUGCCAUAAAUUCCAUCAAUUUUGCAACAUAUGCAGGAGGCUCAGCUGCUGAUUCAGAGGCUUGUGGAGGAGUUGGCUCAACAUUUGGCAUUGGCCUAAUCCAAAUGCCAUUUACUUUCUUCAAUUUCAUCUGAUUCACAAUUGCUUCGCCGAAGAUGAGGGUUGUCUUUGCAGAUUCUUCAUUC